rnacentral:ncRNA from 1 species
UUACUUGCAAUGAAUAGGAGUAGUAGAAAGAAGCUCUAGAUGUACAGAAAUCCGUUCCACGGCUGAGAGAACGGUCACUAUCUUUUUCCGAAGUCGCCUAUGAGCAGUGUAUGUGAAAAGCAAAUGCCCAAGUAAUAUACACCGAGUGAUCCACGUUAUAGGAUGAAAGUCUAUGACUUCAUAAUGUCUAAUUCUCGUGAGUGAAUUAGAGAAAACUGGGUGGUACCGCGAACCUCUCGCCUCAGUC